AUGUCAUCGCUCGUGUUUUUCUCCAGGAAGGAACCGAAAAAUUCGUCAUUAAUUAUUGUGACUUUAAGAGAGAUGAUGCAGAUUACAUGUUAUGAGAAGAACAAUAACAGGUAUCAUAGUUAUUUGAGACUGAGGGUACGAAAUGAUUCUUGGAUUGCUUCGGUUCAAUUAGUAAGCAUCGAUGACCACAUGUAUCCAAAUUUUAUUGAUGUGAUGCAAUGGUUGGCCGAGAGCAACCUGCUUGAAAUGAUUGUUGAUAAAUUAAGCCCAUUUGCCGUGCGCAAAUUGGUGUAG
rnacentral:lncRNA from 1 species